rnacentral:rRNA from 1 species
GGUUGACCUCGGAUCAGGUAGGGAUACCCGCUGAACUUAAGCAUACA